rnacentral:misc_RNA from 1 species
AGCUCCUGAGUUAAAUGUUGGUUUUGAAUUCAAGUUAAACUCAGGUGUGGUUGCACUGAAUGGCAAAACUUCAGAAGCAAGAGGAUGGAGUUGCUUUGAUGAUGUAUCAGUUUCGAGGCUCUCGUGUGUAAGUGUUGGGUUUUCCAUUGGAAUUGGUACAGGUAGCAUUGCAGGGCAAACAGAUAAAGGAAAAGUUGGCAUCACAGGAUGAUAACCAUUUACGUUACAAGUUUCAGGUGGUGGAGGAGGCAAUAAGGAUUGCAAUUGGGAGGAAUUAUCUUGAACUUGAAUUUGCUCUUCCUCAGCAGCCACUUUUACCGUAUCAGUGGUGAUAUCAAAGAGGCUGGAUCUACGGCGGCGACGAUUGAGGUUGCUUCGGCGUAGAAAGUAUUUUUGGG